AUAUCUCUCUAACCUUCGACCCAAAGGCCUUUCCCAUUUAAAGCCCCUUGUCUCUCCCCAUUCGCAUCUGACCUGAAAGAGAGAGAGAGAGAGAAGGAGCCACCACAUACACCAAUUCCUUCAACAACAAAAAAAAAAGAGAGAGAGAGAGAGAGAGAGGUUCUUUCUGCGGAGGAGCUUCUUCCUCGUAGGGGGUUUCUUCUUCUUCAUCGUUUUUAACGAACCAUCGUUAAGUCAAAUCUCCCCCCCCCCUACGUCAGCUCCAGAAUCAUGGGUGCAGGUGGAAGAAUGCCAGUUCCUUCUUCUUCUUCCAAGAAAUCUGAAACCGAUGCCAUAAAGCGUGUGCCCUGCGAGAAACCACCGUUCACGCUGGGAGAUCUGAAGAAAGCAAUCCCACCGCAGUGUUUCAAACGCUCUAUCCCUCGCUCUUUCUCCUACCUUAUCACUGACAUCAUUAUUGCCUCCUGCUUCUACUACGUCGCCACCAAUUACUUUUCUCUCCUCCCUCAGCCUCUCUCUUACUUGGCUUGGCCCCUCUAUUGGGCUUGUCAAGGCUGUGUCCUAACCGGUGUCUGGGUCAUAGCCCACGAAUGCGGUCACCACGCAUUCAGCGACUACCAGUGGCUCGAUGACACAGUCGGUCUUAUCUUCCAUUCCUUCCUUCUCGUCCCUUACUUCUCCUGGAAGUACAGUCAUCGCCGUCACCAUUCCAACACAGGAUCCCUCGAAAGAGAUGAAGUAUUUGUCCCAAAGCAGAAGUCCGCUAUCAAGUGGUAUGGCAAAUACCUCAACAACCCUGCUGGACGCAUCAUGAUGUUGACCGUCCAGUUUGUCCUCGGGUGGCCCUUGUACUUGGCCUUUAACGUCUCCGGCAGACCAUACGACGGGUUCGCUUGCCAUUUCUUCCCCAACGCUCCCAUCUACAACGACCGUGAACGCCUCCAGAUAUAUCUCUCUGAUGCCGGUAUUCUAGCAGUCUGUUUUGGGCUUUACCGUUACGCCGCUGCACAAGGAUUGGCCUCGAUGAUCUGCCUCUACGGAGUACCACUUCUGAUAGUGAACGCGUUCCUCGUCUUGAUCACUUACUUGCAGCACACUCAUCCUGCGUUGCCUCACUACGAUUCAUCCGAGUGGGAUUGGCUUAGGGGAGCUUUGGCUACCGUAGACAGAGACUAUGGAAUCUUGAAUAAGGUGUUCCACAACAUCACGGACACACAUGUGGCUCAUCAUCUGUUCUCGACAAUGCCGCAUUAUAAUGCGAUGGAAGCUACAAAGGCGAUAAAGCCAAUACUCGGUGACUAUUACCAGUUCGACGGAACACCAUGGUAUGUGGCCAUGUAUAGGGAGGCAAAGGAGUGUAUCUAUGUAGAACCGGACAGGGAAGGUGACAAGAAAGGUGUGUACUGGUACAACAAUAAGUUAUGAGGAUGAUGGUGAAAGAACACUGAAGAAAUUGUCGAUCUUUCUCUAGUCUGGUUCUCUUUUGUUUAAGAAGUUAUGGCAUGGUGGUCGGUGUAGCUGUCAUGUCCAAGUUCAAUCUUCAGUUUAGUACUUUUUUUUCCAUUGUUUUAUGACUAGCACUGAAUUCCGUUGUACUCUGUCUGUGAUACUGAAGCCAAGCGUGACAAAUGUUGACCAUGCUAUGUCGAUGUAUUAAAGGGGUUUGAGUUAAUAGUGCUGUUUUGGCUGGCAGGUCACAAUCACAA